CGUUGCCUCGGCGGAUCAGCCCGCGCCCUGUAAAACGGGACGGCCCGCCCGAGGACCCUAAACUCUGUUUUUAGUGGAACUUCUGAGUAAAACAAACAAAUAAAUCAAAACUUUCAACAACGGAUCUCUUGGUUCUGGCAUCGAUGAAGAACGCAGCAAAAUGCGAUAAGUAAUGUGAAUUGCAGAAUUCAGUGAAUCAUCGAAUCUUUGAACGCACAUUGCGCCCGCCAGUAUUCUGGCGGGCAUGCCUGUUCGAGCGUCAUUUCAACCCUCAAGCUCAGCUUGGUGUUGGGACUCGCGGUAACCCGCGUUCCCCAAAUCGAUUGGCGGUCACGUCGAGCUUCCAUAGCGUAGUAAUCAUACACCUCGUUACUGGUAAUCGUCGCGGCCACGCCGUAAAACCCCAACUUCUGAAUGUUGACCUCGGAUCAGGUAGGAAUACCCGCUGAACUUAAGCAUAUCAAUAAGCGGAGGAUUCG
rnacentral:rRNA from 1 species